rnacentral:rRNA from 1 species
AGUGAACGCUGGCGGUAGGCCUAACACAUGCAAGUCGAACGGCAGCACAGUAAGAGCUUGCUCUUACGGGUGGCGAGUGGCGGACGGGUGAGGAAUACAUCGGAAUCUACUUUUUCGUGGGGGAUAACGUAGGGAAACUUACGCUAAUACCGCAUACGACCUACGGGUGAAAGCAGGGGAUCUUCGGACCUUGCGCGAUUGAAUGAGCCGAUGUCGGAUUAGCUAGUUGGCGGGGUAAAGGCCCACCAAGGCGACGAUCCGUAGCUGGUCUGAGAGGAUGAUCAGCCACACUGGAACUGAGACACGGUCCAGACUCCUACGGGAGGCAGCAGUGGGGAAUAUUGGACAAUGGGCGCAAGCCUGAUGCAGCCAUACCGCGUGGGUGAAGAAGGCCUUCGGGUUGUAAAGCCCUUUUGUUGGGAAAGAACAGCAGCAGGUUAAUACCCGGAUGUUCUGACGGUACCCAAAGAAUAAGCACCGGCUAACUUCGUG